AGAUCAAAUUGUUGGUCGUGCCUUGGUACGUACUGGCAUUAUUGGUUUCUCCCUUCUGACGAACCAAGAUGUCAUUAAUUUGGUGUCUUGGGGAAUCAGGACUGUUACUUUGAAAAAAUUAGAGUGUUUAAAGCAGGCUCGCGCUUGAAUACAUUAGCAUGGAAUAAUGAAAUAGGACGUUUGAUUCUAUUUUGUUGGUUUCUAGAAUCGACGUAAUGAUUAAUAGGGAUAGUUG
rnacentral:rRNA from 1 species